UGUUGCUGGGAGGCAGAGUGGAGACAGAGCUCCAGAGGAAUCAGAGGAGGUGGAAACAUCUCGUCCUUGGUGCAGGUAGAAGAACAAAAUCACCAGUUUGACAUCAUGGAAACAACCUGAAGAAAAGUGAAUGAGACAUUUACAGUAUGAAGAAGAGUCAUGAAGAGCAGAGCAUCUUAAGUC